GUAAUGAAUAUACCAGUGCAGCUAAGAGAGUUUGAUGGGUUCAUUUUCAUACAUUUUAUACAUCUUAAAACUAGUAUCUCCAUAUUUUAUAGUCACAGGCUCCUGAGCUCCACAAUCUCAAGUUAAAUUGUGGGGCUGCCACACCCAGCAUCUCCCACUUGGUAUUCCUGGAAGAGGCAUUCUGAUCUGUUGAGGUAGAAAGAAGACAAAGACUCUCUUUAUUAGAGACCACAUCUUUUGAAUGUCUGUGAAUGUCAAUGAAACUCAAGAUACCUUCUCUAGUUCGUGUGGGGGAGAAUCCAGUCUUGUUUAUAUUUCUAUUCACCCUCAGUACUAGCAUUGAUUUGAAAGGAAUUGAAUUUUCACUAGAACGGUAGGAUCUCCAUAGUAUGAAGAUCGGUUGCUGAUAAACUAAUUAGUUUUGGAAAUUCCUGGUAUCUGAAGAAGAGUGACAAACUAUGCAUUACCUAAUUGCUAAGUUGAUAAAUGGACCCAAAUUGCUAAAUU